UGGCUUAGAUGGUAAAGCAUCUGCCUACAAUGCAGGAGACCCAGGUUCAAUCCCUGG
rnacentral:tRNA from 1 species